UACGGAGGGUGCGAGCGUUGUUCGGAAUUAUUGGGCGUAAAGCGCGUGUAGGCGGUUUUUUAAGUCUGAUGUGAAAGCCCUGGGCUCAACCCGGGAAGUGCAUUGGAAACUGGGAGACUUGAAUAUGGGAGAGGGCAGUGGAAUUCCUGGUGUAGGAGUGAAAUCCGUAGAUAUCAGGAGGAACACCGGUGGCGAAGGCAGCUGCCUGGACCGAUAUUGACGCUGAGGCGCGAAAGCGUGGGGAGCAAACAGG
rnacentral:rRNA from 1 species